GAUGAACGCUGGCGGCGCGCCUAACACAUGCAAGUCGAACGGUUAAAGCACCUUUUUGGUGUGUGUAAAAUUGCCAACGGCUGAGUAAACCCUGGGCAACCUGCCCUCCUCCUUGGGGUAAACUCGGGGAACCGGGGGUAAAUACCGAUAAUUCACUGUGGCCGCAUGACGACAGUGGGAAAGCUUUUGCGGAUAGGGAUGGGCCCGCGGCCUGUUAGCUUGUUGGUGGGGUAGAGGCCUACCAAGGCAUUGAUGGGUAGCCGGGUUGAGAGGCGGACCAGGCAGAUUGGGACUGAGAAACGGGCCAGACUCCUACGGGAGGCAGCAGGGGGGAAUCUUGCACAAUGGGCGGAAGCCUGAUGCAGGGACGCCGGGGGCGGGGCGAAGGGCUUCGGGUUGUAAACCGGUUUCAGCAUGUACGAGGCGGUAAGUGACGGUAACUGCAGAAGAAGCCCCGGCUAACUACGUG
rnacentral:rRNA from 1 species